UUCUUCGGGGCGGGGUGUAAUUCCCCACCGGCGGUAUAGUCCGCGACCCGCUUAGGCGGCUGAUCCGGUGACACGAUUCGUGAAUUCCGGAACCGACAGUAUAGUCUGGAUGGUAGAAGAA
rnacentral:ncRNA from 1 species